rnacentral:rRNA from 1 species
UUGAAACAUCGGUUUUCGUACGAUCACCGAAGUUAAGCAACGUCGAUUCUGGUCAGUAUCUAGAUGGGUGACUGCUUGGGAAUAACCAGUGUUGCG